rnacentral:lncRNA from 1 species
GGGUCCUGGAACCAGUCCCUCACAAACACCAAAGAAUGACUCUAUACUCCAGGUUUCAAGGAAUGGUGACUUUCAUGUGCUUGGCUAAUUCCAGCCUGAAGCAGCACAAUGUAUCAUGUGCAGAUGAUCAAAAGUACCUGGAUAAAGCCAAGUCCCCAGGAAACUCAACUUGUACCAUGCUGCAUGGGAUCCUAGGGAGAAGUUCAAAAGAUUUCCAGGCAAAAUAACCUUGUUGUCUCCCUGGAUGUGUUCAAAGUAGCCUGAAUCCCUCUCAUACACCUUGUGAAAAAUUUUUUUUCUGCAAUUCAAUAUCAAAAUAAGAGAAAAUAUAGAGUAAUAUAUUACAGAAAAACUCAGAAAUGGAAGGUAGCAGCAAGUUGUAAUGUAGUUUCUGUGAGUGGAAGAUUAAAGAGGAAUGUUCCAUUCAGGUGGCUUGAAGAUCCUCCUACAAAUGAAUUUUGAGUAUUUGGUAUUUCUUUCUUUUCCUUCAGUUUGUCAAAUGUGCCCAUAAUGUUUUAAAAAAAGACCCAAUAAAACAAAAAUGGCUAAAAUUUUGUAUCUUGUA